GGCUUCGUGGUCGAGUGGUAACGACAUUUGCCUCUCACCCAGGAGUCCCGGGUUUUAUCCUCGGUCGAGGAGCUA
rnacentral:tRNA from 1 species